rnacentral:rRNA from 1 species
UACGUAGGGUCCAAGCGUUAUCCGGAAUCACUGGGCGUAAAGCGUGCGUAGGUGGCGCAUUAAGUGAGAUGUGAAAUCCCGUGGCUCAACCAUGUGGACUGUGUCUCGUACUGAUGUGCUUGAGGAUGGCAGAGGCAAGUGGAACUCGUAGUGUAGCAGUGAAAUGCGUAGAUAUUACGAAGAACACCAAUGGCGAAGGCAGCUUGCUGGGCCACACCUGACACUAAGGCACGAAAGCGUGGGGAGCGAACAGG